rnacentral:rRNA from 1 species
AACCUGGUUGAUCCUGCCAGUAGUCAUAUGCUUGUCUCAAAGAUUAAGCCAUGCAUGUCUAAGUACAUACUUUUGCACGGUGAAACCGCGAAUGGCUCAUUAUAUCAGUUAUGGUUUCUUAGAUCGUUUCUUUUACAUGGAUAACUGUGGUAACUCUAGAGCUAAUACAUGCAAAAAGCUCCGACCGUAUGGGAGGAGCGCUUUUAUUAGACCAAAACCAAUGGGGUCGCAAGAUCCCUUUGUUUGGUGACUCUGGAUAACUUUGUGCUGAUCGCAUGGCCUAGAGCCGGCGACGUAUCUUUCAAGUGUCUGCCCUAUCAACUUUCGAUGGUAAGCGAUUUGCCUACCAUGGUUGUAACGGGUAACGGGGAAUCAGGGUUCGAUUCCGGAGAGGGAGCAUGAGAAAUGGCUACCACAUCUACGGAAGGCAGCAGGCGCGCAAAUUACCCACUCCUAGAACGGGGAGGUAGUGACGAAAAAUAACAAUACCGGACUCUUAGAGGCUCGGUAAUUGAAAUGAGUACAGUUUAAAACCCUUAACGAGGAUCUAUUGGAGGGCAAGUCUGGUGCCAGCAGCCGCGGUAAU